rnacentral:rRNA from 1 species
UGAACGCUGGCGGCGUGCCUAAUACAUGCAAGUCGAGCGAACAGACGAGGAGCUUGCUCCUCUGACGUUAGCGGCGGACGGGUGAGUAACACGUGGAUAACCUACCUAUAAGACUGGGAUAACUUCGGGAAACCGGAGCUAAUACCGGAUAAUAUAUUGAACCGCAUGGUUCAAUAGUGAAAGACGGUUUUGCUGUCACUUAUAGAUGGAUCCACGCCGCAUUAGCUAGUUGGUAAGGUAACGGCUUACCAAGGCAACGAUGCGUAGCCGACCUGAGAGGGUGAUCGGCCACACUGGAACUGAGACACGGUCCAGACUCCUACGGGAGGCAGCAGUAGGGAAUCUUCCGCAAUGGGCGAAAGCCUGACGGAGCAACGCCGCGUGAGUGAUGAAGGUCUUCGGAUCGUAAAACUCUGUUAUUAGGGAAGAACAAAUGUGUAAGUAACUAUGCACGUCUUGACGGUACCUAAUCAGAAAGCCACGGCUAACUACGUG